rnacentral:rRNA from 1 species
AUUGAACGCUGGCGGCAGGCCUAACUCAUGCCAGUCGAACGCGUGGCGGACGGGUGAGUAAUGUCUGGGAAACUGCCUGAUGGAGGGGGCUACCUACUGGAAACGGUAGCUAAUACCGCAUACCAUCGGAUGUGCCCAGAUGGGGUUAGCUCGUGGGUGAGGUAACGGCUCACCUAGGCGACGAUCCCUAGCUGGUCUGAGAGGAUGACCAGCGAAAAUAGAAAUGAAACACGGUGCAGAGAGCUACGGGAGGAAGGAGUGGGGAAUAUUGCACAAUGGGCGCAAGCCUGAAAAAGCCAUGCCACGUGUAUGAAGAAGGGCUUCGGGUUGUAAAGUACUUUCAGCGGGGAGGCGUUACCCGCAGAAGAAGCACCGGCUAACUCCGUGCCAGCAGCCGCGGUAAUUC